rnacentral:rRNA from 1 species
AUUGAACGCUGGCGGCAGGCCUAACACAUGCAAGUCGAACGAGUGGCGGACGGGUGAGUAAUGUCUGGGAAACUGCCUGAUGGAGGGGGAUAACUACUGGAAACGGUAGCUAAUACCGCAUACCAUCAGAUGUGCCCAGCGGGGAUUAGCUGGUUGGUGGGGUAACGGAUCACCAAGGCGACGAUCCCUAGCUGGUCUGCGAGGAUGCCCAUCCAAACUGAGACUGAGACACGGUCCAGACACCAACGGGAGGCAGCAGUGGGGAAUAUUGCACAAUGGGCGCAAGCCUGAGACAGCCAUUCCGCGUGUAUGAAGAAGGCCUUCGGGGUGUAAAGUACUUUCAGCGGGGAGGCGUUACCCGCAGAAGAAGCACCGGCUAACUCCGUGCCAGCAGCCGCGGUAAUUC